rnacentral:tRNA from 1 species
GGCGAGAUACCCAAGUGGCCAACGGGGGCGGACUGUAAAUCCGCUGGCAUACGCCUUCGUAGGUUCGAAUCCUACUCUCGCCACCA